rnacentral:rRNA from 1 species
UACGCAGGGUGCAAGCGUUACUCGGAAUUACUGGGCGUAAAGCGUGCGCAGGCGGUUUUGUAAGUCUGUCGUGAAAUCCCCGGGCUCAACCUGGGAAUUGCGAUGGAGACUGCAAGGCUAGAAUCUGGCAGAGGGGGGUAGAAUUCCACGUGUAGCAGUGAAAUGCGUAGAGAUGUGGAGGAACACCGAUGGCGAAGGCAGCCCCCUGGGUCAAGAUUGACGCUCAUGCACGAAAGCGUGGGGAGCAAACAGG